rnacentral:rRNA from 1 species
UAUCUCUGUAGAGUCUGCAUAUCAAUAAGCGGAGGAAAAGAAACUAACAAGGAUUCCCUUAGUAACGGCGAGUGAAGCGGGAAGAGCUCAAAUUUGAAAUCUUCAAGGUUUUACCUUGACGAAUUGUAGUUUAAAGAAGUGUUUUCUGUUGAAGUUUCGGUAAAAGUUCUUUGGAAUAGGACAUCAUAGAGGGUGAGAAUCCCGUAUUUGACCAUUACUUCCAGCGUUGUGAUACACUUUCAAAGAGUCGGAUUGUUUGGGAAUGCAGUCCAAAAUGGGUGGUAAAUUUCAUCUAAAGCUAAAUACUGGCGAGAGACCGAUAGCGAACAAGUACCGUGAGGGAAAGAUGAAAAGAACUUUGAAAAGAGAGUUAAACAGUACGUGAAAUUGUCAAAAGGGAAGCGUUUGACACCAGUGUUGUUUUCUCGAAAAUCAAUUAAAAAUGGCGGGAUUUUGUGUUGUAUUGACUUUAUCAGCUUUCUGCACUUUUUUCCUGUCUUUUUUAAUGCACUUUUCGUUUAACAAGUCAACAUCAAUUUCUUUUGUUGUAAAAGGGUCAUUGGAAGGUGGCUUUCUUUUCGGAGAAAGUGUUUAUAGCCUUUGGCCUCUGCAAUCGGAGAGAUUGAGGUCUGCAGCGUAGAUCCUUCGGGGUUAUAUACAUUUGUGCUAAGUUAUAGCCUUUCAUAGACAACUUGUUGACUAUGCUCAGUCAUGUAGCUUACUCGCUUAUGCUAUUUUACCUACGCUUAGGAUGUUGAUCUCUCACAGUCGAGC